rnacentral:piRNA from 1 species
UGUACGUGUGAAGGGGCUUUG